GCCGACGGAGUAGACUUGCUCCCUCGUAAGGAGCAGGUGAGCGGUUCGAGUCCGCUCGUCGGCU
rnacentral:tRNA from 1 species